rnacentral:rRNA from 1 species
AUUGAACGCUGGCGGCAGGCCUAACACAUGCAAGUCGAGCGGAGCGGCGGACGGGUGAGUAAUGUCUGGGAAACUGCCUAUUAGUGGGGGACAACAUCUCGAAAGGGAUGCUAAUACCGCAUACUCAUAGAUGAGCCUAAGUCGGAUUAGCUAGUUGGGGGGGUAAAGGCCUACCAAGGCGACGAUCUGUAGCUGGUCUGAGAGGAUGAUCCGCCAAACUGGGACUUGGGAACGGGCCAGACUCCUACGGGAGGGAACAGUGGGGAAUAUUGGAAAAUGGGGGGAACGCUGGUCCAAGCAUGCCGGGUGUGUGGAGAAGGGCUUAUGGUUGGAAAGCACUUUUAGCGAGGAGGCGUUACUCGCAGAAUAAGCACCGGCUAACUCUGUGCCAGCAGCCGCGGUAAUAC